UGACCGCGACUGACGCUGCGAGCGUCGC
rnacentral:sRNA from 1 species